rnacentral:lncRNA from 1 species
GAACUUAUGCUAAAAUAUUAAGAAAAUUUCUAACGUACGACUUACACACCACCUACAGACAUGAUAACGUCAGAUUGUAAUUUUAAUAUACGAGAAAACAUAAUUCUGUUAAGCGAAAACUCAAACACA